rnacentral:rRNA from 1 species
AACGCUAGCUACAGGCUUAACACAUGCAAGUCGAGGGGAAACGACAUCGAAAGCUUGCUUUUGAUGGGCGUCGACCGGCGCACGGGUGAGUAACGCGUAUCCAACCUGCCCACCACUUGGGGAUAACCUUGCGAAAGUAAGACUAAUACCCAAUGACGUCUCUAGAAGACAUCUGAAAGAGAUUAAAGAUUUAUCGGUGAUGGAUGGGGAUGCGUCUGAUUAGCUUGUUGGCGGGGUAACGGCCCACCAAGGCGACGAUCAGUAGGGGUUCUGAGAGGAAGGUCCCCCACAUUGGAACUGAGACACGGUCCAAACUCCUACGGGAGGCAGCAGUGAGGAAUAUUGGUCAAUGGGCGCAAGCCUGAACCAGCCAAGUAGCGUGAGGGAAGACUGCCCUACGGGUUGUAAACCUCUUUUGUUUGGGAAUAAAGUGCGGGACGCGUCCCGCAUUGCAUGUACCAUUUGAAUAAGGACCGGCUAAUUCCGUGCCAGCAGCCGCGGUAAUACGGAAGGUCCGGGCGUUAUCCGGAUUUAUUGGGUUUAAAGGGAGCGUAGGCCGGCUUUUAAGCGUGUUGUGAAAUGCCGCGGCUCAACCGUGGCACUGCAGCGCGAACUGGAGGCCUUGAGUGCGCGGGAGGUAGGCGGAAUUCGUGGUGUAGCGGUGAAAUGCUUAGAUAUCACGAAGAACUCCGAUUG